rnacentral:rRNA from 1 species
AUGGGGAACGGGUCACAUGCCAUCGUUCGAGGUGUCGGUACGGUCAAUCUGAAGUUUACUUUGGGAAAGACCGUGCGUCUGAAGAACAUUCAUCAUGUGUUGUCCAUCAAUAAAAAUCUCGUUAGCGGUUCCCGUUUAUGUCGAGAUGGUUUUAAGUUGGUUUUUGAGUCCAAUAAAGUUGUAAUUUUCAAGUGUGGACAAUUUGUUGGAAAAGGCUAUGAGUGUGGAGGCUUGUUCCGCCUAUCUUUGUCAAAUAUUUGCACUAAAGUUAUUAAUAAUGUUUGCCACAAUAAUGAGUUGGAUAUUUGGCAUUCACGACUUUGC